UUGAGAGUUUGAUCCUGGCUCAGGACGAACGCUGGCGGCGUGCCUUAAUACAUCCAAGUCGAGCGAGCUGAAUUCAAAGAUCCCUUCGGGGUGAUUUGUUGGACGCUAGCGGCGGAUGGGUGAGUAACACGUGGGCAAUCUGCCCUAAAGACUGGGAUACCACUUGGAAACAGGUGCUAAUACCGGAUAACAACAUGAAUCGCAUGAUUCAAGUUUGAAAGGCGGCGCAAGCUGUCACUUUAGGAUGAGCCCGCGGCGCAUUAGCUAGUUGGUGGGGUAAAGGCCUACCAAGGCAAUGAUGCGUAGCCGAGUUGAGAGACUGAUCGGCCACAUUGGGACUGAGACACGGCCCAAACUCCUACGGGAGGCAGCAGUAGGGAAUCUUCCACAAUGGACGCAAGUCUGAUGGAGCAACGCCGCGUGAGUGAAGAAGGUCUUCGGAUCGUAAAGCUCUGUUGUUGGUAAGAAGGAUAGAGGCAGUAACUGGUCUUUAUUUGACGGUAAUCAACCAGAAACGG
rnacentral:rRNA from 1 species